UCUUUUGGCUCUUUAUAAAACCUCUGUGAGGUAAUUAAGGCAUUACUAUCCAUAAUUUUUAUUUCAACAGAUCAUCAGGGAUCUAGUUCAGGAGAAAUGAAGUGACUGGCCCGAGGUCACACAGCUUCUAGAAAGCAGGACCUGAGUGCAUGGGUCUUUCCACUCCAGCAAUAUGUGAUGCCUAUGCCAACAUUACAGUAACUUCUUUUUUCUCCAGUAGAAAUAUGUUUCAAGCUUACUCAGUGUGUGGUCAACUAUGAUUUCCAGCCUUUCCUUUUCCUGCUAUGUAUGUGCCAAACAGUGAUGUGAUAGAAAAACGAAUGGUUGCAGAACUGAGAAACUUAAAAACUUCGGUUACAGCUCUAAUAUAUGAGACUUCAGGCAAGUUACUAGCUUUCCUCAGCUAUAAAAAGGAGAUUAGGCAGGACGCGGUGGCUCACGACUGUAGUCCCAACACUUUGGGAGGCCGAGGCGGGCAGAUCACUUGAGGUCAGGAGUUCAAGAACAGCCUGGCCAACAUGGUGAAACCCCGUCUCUAUUAAAAAUACAAAAAUGACCUUGGCGCGGUGGCGCGUGCCUGUAAUCCCAGCUACUUGGGACGCUGAGGCAGGAGGAUCCCUUGAACCCGGGAGGUGGAAGUUGCAGUGAGCCGAGAUCGCAGCACUGCACUCCAGCCUGGGCAACAAGAGCAAAACUCUGUCUCAAAAAAAAGAAAGAAAGAAAGAAAGAAAUAAAAAGAAAAACAAAAAAGAAAAGGAGAAUUAGAUCAGCGACUCUUUGCCUGGGGGUGGGUGACAGAACAACACUUCUUCCUCCCCUAACAAAAAUUACCUAGGGAGCUGUGAGAGCUUUCCCCACUGACAGAAAUGCCAGCAGAAAUUCAGCUGCAAAUACUCAAUUCAUUAAUCCUUAACAUCACUUCCAAUCCACAUAGCUGUGAUUCCAACGCAAUCUUUUCUAUUCAGUAUUUGUCAGCUGUUUUUAUUCUUCAGUUUAUCACCUUACAUUUGGCUCUCAAUUUCAUCCAUUCAAAAAUUACUGAUGGCCCAUUAUGUGCGAAGUACCCUGCGCUCCGCUUUUUGUGGUAUCCCUCUUCCGAGCGAGAAGUCGCUUAGAAUUUUACCCCUAUCUUCCCCACUUGGGAAUCGGAAGGGUUCAUAGCUAAGUCUUGUUAUUUAUAAGCACGCCGGUUCUUCUCCAUCCCUCUCUCCACCAACCCCAUUUCAAGGUUGGUCCCUCCCAACGGACGACAGUGAUGAAUUCCUCUUGGGGACAGCCCUCCCGCAACUAACAGUGGCUCCAUCAACGCUCUGGUCUCCUUGCUGCUCGGUGGGAAUCCGGGUGGGACGUUUUCCAAAGUUUGAGUGGAUUCCACGGCACGUUCCUCCCCUCGGAAAGGCACAACCGGCUCGGCGUGUCAGCUCGGCGGGACCCACGCCGGUGCCGGGCCGCAGCUCUGGUUCUCGCUGGGCGGCUGCGGAGGGCUGAGCGAUUCUCCUAGUGUCGCGAGGCGACCCGGGCAGGAGGAAACUUGCUCGCUUCCCCUCUUCGGGACGCGGCGCCUCGUCUGCCCUUGUGCACUCCGCAGGAACUUCCCCCGGCCUCUGCUCUCGCUCCGAAAUAACCGAGCCGGCUCCUCGCACGCUCCCGCCGUCCUCCUCCGGCUGAGGCCGCGCGCCCGCCACCGCCGCCACCGCCACCACCGCGCGUGUCCUCACGGGGCCUCGGCUCCCUCCGCCUCCGC
rnacentral:lncRNA from 1 species